UACGGGGGGGGGCAAGCGUUGUUCGGAAUUACUGGGCGUAAAGGGCGCGUAGGCUGCUCGCUAAGUCGGGUGUGAAAACUCUGGGCUCAACCCAGAGCCUGCAUUCGAAACUGACGAGCUAGAGUUCUGGAGGGGAAAGCGGAAUUCCUGGUGUAGCGGUGAAAUGCGUAGAUAUCUGGAGGAAUACCGGUGGCGAAGGCGGCGAUCCUGGACCGGCAUUGACGCUGAGUGAGCGAAAGCCAGGGGAGCAAAACGGGG
rnacentral:rRNA from 1 species